ensembl:lncRNA
UUAAUUUAUAGAAAAGGUGAAGGGAAAUGGAAAUAAUAAUAUGUGCUGUGUAACGUGGGCCCAUGAUCUGUCAGCAUUUGCCAAGCACGACCAAGACCUAUUAUGCAGGAUGCAACUUACAUGAGGAAAAAUGUUCCUGUGAUUUUGGGUAUCAACAAAAACCCUCCCCGUGAACCUCUGAGUUUGGUGAAAAGAGAAAAUUUCCAUGGAAAUAAAUAAGAGGCAUUAUUUUUGGAGCUACUUACAUAUGUAAUGUGUGAUGAGAGAGUAUGCUAGAGGUAACCAUCCAUCAGUUCUUCUAGAGGUGAAGUUCUGUCUGAAGAGGACUACAGGGAUAAAACUGAAGGUGAACAGUGCUGUGGAAGUGUCACGGUGACCACUGACAGCAUCAAAUUUAGGCCCACUGAUUUCUGAUCGCUUUGACAAAUAUGGAGUGAAGAAAUACAACAAUUUUUGUCUCUUAAAAUACUUCAGAUGAUGGAAUGCUGGGUUGUCAGAAACGUCAAUUGUGAAAAUCAUUCUUACAAGAAGUCAGUCAGAAGUGCUUCCCUUGCACACUGCAACCAGAGAACCACCUUCAUUGAUGUCCUAGAGCCCUCCCAGCCCUCUGCUUGCUAGGCAACAGCAUCCAUGUGGCUGCAGAUCAAAUAGAACACAGGAAACUACUGAACUUCCCCAUAGUUUUUCUGUUAGUAGCAAUAAUCGUUACUUUUUUGUGCACAGCUAUCAAUUUAUGAAUUUUCUUGACUUCUUUGGGGGAUUUUACCUUUGUACAAAUAUGGUGGAAAUAUGCUGAUAUAUUAACAAGUUAUUAAGUUCAGGUGAUGGAACUUCUGGAGAAUUAUAAUCUACUCUCAUGAACCCAUUCUGUA